ACCACAUUCAUGUGUUCUUUCUCCCGUUUGUUUUGUUCGUAUUGCAUUGUAGGCGUACGAAAUGCAAUUUGAGUCCUGAUCAACAUCUGGAAAAGAGAGGCAUCACCACCAUGCCAUCAUUCUAAUUUAAAGUUAGGGGMUGUUUACCUAAAUCUUUUUAUCUUAUAAUUCUUAAAUUGUUUUAAGCAAGUGUGAUUAUGAUGGCAUUGUUGCUCAUAUAUUCUGUCUGAGGAGGCUGUCGACUUUGUAUAAAAAGGAUAACUGCAGAUAAAGAGGGAAAUUGUCACAGUUAGCGGUUCACAUGAAAUUAUUGCAUUAUGGCUAACACCUUUGCAGACCACUUGCAAUCAGACGAGGCUUCGUCAUCUGUGCAAAGUAACAAACAUGGUUCUACUCGGACAGACUAUAAAAAAGUUAGAAAAGAGAUGUCAUGUGAUAGAUAGAGUAUCAAGUUUUGCGAGGAUUUUAGGGAGGAUGUUAG